ensembl:misc_RNA
GCAUCCGCGGCUCAGCCAAGCUGUUGUUUUAAAAGAGCAAUAAAAAUGAAUUAUGACUAAACGCCUUCUAACUUAAUGCUUUCGGACGGGGAUCCCCGGCAAAUAACGUAAGAGGAUUUUUAUUUGUGCAUGUGUUCCUGCAAUUGAUCUCUUUGAUGACAUUCUCAUUCAUAGAAAGCGUUUGAUUUAUGAGCGUAGGACGAAUCGCAUCUAGG